rnacentral:rRNA from 1 species
UACGUAGGGUCCGAGCGUUGUCCGGAGUUACUGGGCGUAAAGCGCGCGCAGGCGGCGCGGUCAGCAUGGCGUGAAAGCCCCCGGCUCAACCGGGGAGGGUCGUCGUGGACUGCCGCGCUUGAGGGCGGUAGGGGCUGGUGGAAUUCCCGGUGUAGUGGUGAAAUGCGUAGAGAUCGGGAGGAACACCCGUGGCGAAGGCGGCCAGCUGGGCCGACCCUGACGCUGAGGCGCGAAGGCGUGGGGAGCAAAC